UACGAAGGGGGCUAGCGUUGCUCGGAAUCACUGGGCGUAAAGCGCACGUAGGCGGAUUGUUAAGUCAGGGGUGAAAUCCUGGAGCUCAACUCCAGAACUGCCUUUGAUACUGGCGAUCUUGAGUCCGGGAGAGGUGAGUGGAACUGCGAGUGUAGAGGUGAAAUUCGUAGAUAUUCGCAAGAACACCAGUGGCGAAGGCGGCUCACUGGCCCGGUACUGACGCUGAGGUGCGAAAGCGUGGGGAGCAAACAGGAUUAGAAACCCUGAGU
rnacentral:rRNA from 1 species